rnacentral:misc_RNA from 1 species
GUGAAGAAAGCCUUAAUCCUAAUUGCCUGAGAUCCACUUGCUCAUUUUACAGAAUUUAGUUUUACUGAAAAGGUAGUCGACUUGCUGGCACAAGUAUUAAGCUCGAAGUUCUUUCUGAAAGAAGCAAAAUGCAUAGAUCACUUGCUUGUUUCUUUGCUUUAUUGUGAUUGCAAAAUGCAAAGAAUAUAAUUUCUUUUUUCAAUUUUUAUAUUAUUUUAGCUGAUUACCAAUGUUGCUUUCCACCUCAGAGACUGGUUGAGGAUGAUAUGG